rnacentral:rRNA from 1 species
CAGAGACCCCAAGCAUUAUCCGGAUUUAUUGGGCGUAAAGGGUGUGUAGGUGGUUUUGUAAGUCAUUUGUUAAAUCUUCAGGCUCAACCUGGAGGCUGCAGGUGAUACUACAAGGCUAGAGUAUGGGAGAGGUAAGCGGAAUGCCCGGUGUAGCGGUAAAAUGCGUUAAUAUCGGGUAGAACACCAAAGGCGAAAGCAGCUUACUGGAACAUUACUGACACUGAAACACGAAAGCGUGGGUAGCGAAAGGGAUUAGAUACCCCUGUAGUCCACGCCGUAAACGAUGAUCACUAGAUUUUGGGAGUAUCGACCCUCCCAGAGUCGUCGAAACAAGCUAACGCGUUAAGUGAUCCGCCUGGGAAGUACGAUCGCAAGAUUA